rnacentral:rRNA from 1 species
AUACGGAGGAUCCGAGCGUUAUCCGGAUUUAUUGGGUUUAAAGGGUGCGCAGGCGGCCAUUUAAGUCAGCGGUUAAAUCGUGGGGCUCAACCCCAUUCUGCCGUUGAUACUGGGUGGCUUGAUUGCGGUCGAGGUUGGCGGAAUUCGUUGUGUAGCGGUGAAAUGCAUAGAUAUGACGAAGAACACCGAUUGCGUAGGCAGCUGACCAGACCGCAAAUGACGCUCAUGCACUAAAGUGCGAGUAGCGAACGGGAUUAGAUACCCUGGUAGUCCGCAUAGUAAACGAUGAAUAAUUGUUUUCGGCGAUAUAAUGUCGGAGGCAAAGCGAAAGCGAUAAGUAUUCCACCUGGGGAGUACUCCGGCAACGGUGAAACUCAAAUGAAUUGACGGGG